UAGGGAAUCUUCGGCAAUGGACGAAAGUCUGACCGAGCAACGCCGCGUGAGUGAGGAAGGUUUUCGGAUCGUAAAACUCUGUUGUUAGAGAAGAACGUUGCAUAGAGUGGAAAAUUAUGCAAGUGACGGUAUCUAACCAGAAAGGGACGGCUAACUACGUGCCAGCAGCCGCGGUAAUACGUAGGUCCCGAGCGUUGUCCGGAUUUAUUGGGCGUAAAGCGAGCGCAGGUGGUUUAAUAAGUCUGAUGUAAAAGGCAGUGGCUCAACCAUUGUGUGCAUUGGAAACUGUUAGACUUGAGUGCAGUAGAGGAGAGUGGAAUUCCAUGUGUAGCGGUGAAAUGCGUAGAUAUAUGGAGGAACACCGGUGGCGAAAGCGGCUCUCUGGACUGUCACUGACACUGAGGCUCGAAAGCGUGGGUAGCAAACAGGAUUAGAUACCCUGGUAGUCCACGCCGUAAACGAUGAGUGCUAGUUGUUUGGGGCUAUCCAGCCCUAAGUGAC
rnacentral:rRNA from 1 species